AGCAAACUCUGGAUCAAUUAUCACAUCAAUGUCUUCUGCUGUCGAGCGAUUUUGAAAAUGUGAGACUGCGAGAUAUCCGCCUAGCGAGACCAUCGUAAUUGGAGAAAAGACGUAUAUCAUUUCGUCUUCCGUUACAAAUUUGUCCAAUGUUUCGAUCCCUAUACAGCAAUGGCUUCCAAAUAUCACUUGAUUUCCACUACCUCUUCUCAUUUUAGCUUUGUCCAACGCCACCCGUUCUUCUUCCAUGCCUUCAAAUUUCGAACCACUGCUGUUCUCGCUUUUCUGGUAUUAUAAUGUAUUUCGAGGAGGAGAGGCAGAUUUAAUGCUACGGUUUGGAAAUACUAGGUAGUUGAGGGGGGUUGGACACAAGAGGAAUGGCUGUUUGAUACAGGGCUGCUGCAUAAGCUACUUCUCUUAGAGCCCUGCACAGCCUAAUCGGAACCUGCAUUCUGCGUACGCUGCGUAUAUCAAGAUAUUAGGGUCAAGAGAGUGUUGCAAUAAAACCCACUCACAAGUUCAUAGAACUACUUACUAUUACCUUCCAUAAGCACUCUAUUAUGGUGCCAAUCACUACCAUUUCGGAAUGAUUUACAAAUACUAGUAUCGAGGAGUUCCAGUGGAUUUUAUCGGAAUUGGAUUUAGAUCUAGCUCUGUGCACGAUGAAGAGAGUUUGUUCAACAGGGUCGUUCAAGAGAGUUGGAUAGCAAAAUUCAGACCAGUUC
rnacentral:sRNA from 1 species